rnacentral:rRNA from 1 species
GACGAACGCUGGCGGCAUGCCUAACACAUGCAACUCGAACGAGACCUUCGGGUCUAAUAGAGCACGAGGGAAAAAAGAGUGAGAACCGGCCCUUAGGGUAGGACAACCUACCCAAAAGGGAUGCCAACACCGGAUAAUGUCUUCGGACCAAAGAUUUAUCGCCUUUGGAUGUGCCCGCGUUGGAGUAGCUAUUUGGUAUUGUAAAAGCUUGCCAAGGCGAUGAUCCAUAGCUGGGCUGAGAGGAUGAUCAGCCACACUGGGACUGAGACACGGCCCAGACUCCUACGGGAGGGUGCAGUGGGGAAUAGUGGACCAUCGGCGAAAGCCUGAUCCAGCAAGGACGCGUGAGUGAUGAAGGCCUUAGGUAUGUAAAGCUCUUUUACCCGGGAUGAUAAUGACAGUACCGGGAGAAUAAGCUCCGGCUAACUCCGUG